GACGAACGCUGGCGGCGUGCCUAAUACAUGCAAGUCGAACGCAGUGGGGACGGGUGCGUAACACGUGGGUAACCUCCCAUCAGAGGGGAUAACCCUUGGCAACAGGUGCUAAACCGAUAUUGAUUGAUGUACCUGCGGGGCAUUAGCUAGGUGGGGGGGUAACGGCUCACCAAGGCUACGAUGCAUAGCCGGCCUGAGAGGGUGACCGGCCACACUGGGACUGAGACACGGUCCAGACUCCUACGGGAGGCAGCAGUAGGGAAUAUUGGGCAAUGGACGAAAGCCUGAUCGAGCAACGCCGCGUGAGUGAAGAAGGUUUUCGGAUCGUAAAACUCUGUUGUUAGAGAAGCGGUAUCUAACCAGAAAGCAACGGCUAACUACGUGCCAGCAGCCGCGGUAAUUC
rnacentral:rRNA from 1 species